CUGGAGGUGGGCUGGGCUGCUCAGUGGGCCCACCCUGCUGGCUCUGGGCUUCGGAGGCCUUAUGGAAGGAGCAAGCUGCUCCCGAGGCCUCAGAGCCCAGCAGCUAGCUACAGGGUUUUUAGCAUCCCGGAACCUGUGCUCAAGACAGCAGCUGCCCAGGGAAGAGCCUCUCCCAGGGAAAGCUGCAUUCUCCUUGAGACUCCCCCGAUCCCGGGAGCCGCCAGAAGAACCUUUGCCUAGAUGAAGAAGCUGGAUUCACAUACACAGCAGUGGCUGACCAAGAUGCCAUCACUAGGAAGUAUGAAAACAAAGUUUGAAGCCAGGCGCCUGGCUAUAUCACCACUUCCCAUCCAGCAGCAGGAUAUGGCUCCAGGUCCCAAGUCCCAGGUGGAUUACAUCUCUGCUCGAAUGGGAAGCUCCAGCUCUGCACAGUUCCGGCUGCUUCCGCCUGGUCUGUAUCUGUUCCCCAUCAGAGGUCCCCUAGAGCUCUAGCCUUCAGCAGCCCAGAUAAAAGAGAUGGAUGGAGGUGAGUUUGGAGAUGCCCCUCCCUGCAAGUGCAGAGCUAAAGCCCUGGGCUGUGAUGGGGGCUCCCUGAGGAGGGCUGAGAGUGAGGGUGAAGGCUGCCAAGUUCUCUGGGAGCCCAGUUCCUAUGCAUCCCCACCCACCUUAGCCCUUUCCUUCCUCCAAAG
rnacentral:lncRNA from 1 species